rnacentral:rRNA from 1 species
CAUGGCUGUCGUCAGCUCGUGUUGUGAAAUGUUGGGUUAAGUCCCGCAACGAGCGCAACCCUUAUCCUUUGUUGCCAGCGGUUCGGCCGGGAACUCAAAGGAGACUGCCAGUGAUAAACUGGAGGAAGGUGGGGAUGACGUCAAGUCAUCAUGGCCCUUACGAGUAGGGCUACACACGUGCUACAAUGGCGUAUACAAAGAGAAGCGACCUCGCGAGAGCAAGCGGACCUCAUAAAGUACGUCGUAGUCCGGAUUGGAGUCUGCAACUCGACUCCAUGAAGUCGGAAUCGCUAGUAAUCGUAGAUCAGAAUGCUACGGUGAAUACGUUCCCGGGCCUUGUACACACCGCCCGUCACACCAUGGGAGUGGGUUGCAAAAGAAGUAGGUAGCUUAACCUUCGGAGGCGCUAC